rnacentral:rRNA from 1 species
UGCGAGCACGACAGGUUAAUCCGAGUGGUUUCUGCUAAAGGAACCUUUUGUUAGUCCUAGAAACACUAACGAAUAAGGGGUGGGCAAGUUCUGGUGUCAGCCGCCGCGGUAAAACCAGCACCUCAAGUGGUCAGGAUGAUUAUUGGGCCUAAAGCAUCCGUAGCCGGCUCUGUAAGUUUUCGGUUAAAUCUGUACGCUCAACGUACAGGCUGCCGGGAAUACUGCAGAGCUAGGGAGUGGGAGAGGUAGACGGUACUCGGGAGGAAGUGGUAAAAUGCUUUGAUCUCUCGAUGACCACCUGUGGCGAAGGCGGUCUACCAGAACACGUCCGACGGUGAGGGAUGAAAGCUGGGGGAGCAAACCGGAUUAGAUACCCGGGUAGUCCCAGCUGUAAACUAUGCAAACUCAGUGAUGCAUUGGCUUGUGGCCAAUGCAGUAUUGCAGGGAAGCCGUUAAGUUUGCCGCCUGGGAAGUACGUACGCAAGUAUGAAACUUAAAGGAAUUGGCGGGGGAGCAC